UAGGGAAUCUCCGGCAAUGGACGAAAGUCUGACCGAGCAACGCCGCGUGAGUGAAGAAGGUUUUCGGAUCGUAAAACUCCGUUGUUAGAGAAGAACAAGGGUGAGAGUAACUGUUCACCCCUUGACGGUAUCUAACCAGAAAGCCACGGCUAACUACGUGUCAG
rnacentral:rRNA from 1 species